rnacentral:lncRNA from 1 species
CACAUGUCUGAGCACACAUAAGGGACUCUGUGAAUAUGUGUGUAUUUGUUGUGUGCAUGCCCGCAGAAUGGGAUACAGAGACUCACUCUAUUCAUCAGGGAUUUGUUUUAAUCAGGAAUUGGCAGGCAUGGGAAGAGCACGCUGUCCAGGGUCGGCAAGGCCUGGAAAUGUCAGAGCAUCAGAAUACUGAAAAUAAAAGACAUGGUUAAAUCUAUUUUGGUGGCGAGGCUGGGGACACUGGGAAUAUGAUACUGAUCAAUCUAGAAUGUGUGGAGGAGUGGACAGCAGUUUUUAAUCAGACAAGACCUUCAACCCCGGCACAGACCAUCAAUUGGCAGGUGUUAAAACAGACCAAAAUGUGUUCUCCCGCCCAGAAGCAAGCAAAGCCAACCCCAGCUGCAGUUCCCUGACAGUCCAGUGAAUUCAGCCAAAGGAAAUGGCCCCACAUGGAGGGCAAGUGACAGAAGACCUGAUGACUCCGGUGGCUCAGCGGAGAGUGCAUUAAUAGGCUUGACCACUUCUGCUCGAUCUUCAGGCAAGCUGGGUCUGACCCCUGGACACUGUCCCCUGGAGCCCCUGGCCUCCACGUGUCCACCCACUGCCAUGGUCAUGGCUCCUCAGCAGGAGGAGGCCCAGCAGCCUCCAGGUGCCCCUGCCUGGUGCUAGCUGCCCACCGAAGCUCUAGCCUCACACUCUCAGGUUCAAAUCCAGCGACAAGAGCGGAUCCCACAAAGGCCACGAGAGUCACCCUAAACGGUCAGCUUAGGUCCUUCGUUCACUGAGCCCAUCGCUGUCCAGGGCAAGUGGUGCUGGCUGGGCUAGGUCCAGCUCCCGUGUCCACCCUGGGACCUGAGGUUCAGGGUCAGCUCACCCUAGACACAUGGAUCGAGUGGGGAGGGUGAAUCCUCAAAUGCUAAUCAGGUUCUGUUGUACAGAAGGGGAAGCGGAGGCAGGAGGAUGCAGCAAGACCUGUUCCCUCCUCUAACGGCACUCAUAGGACAGCCCAGCCACACAUUCAAAGAAUCUUGAAGGAAUAGGAUGGUUGGUAUGGUUGGUGUGGAAGAAGGUUCAUAAAUUCUGGAUUUAGCUUUGUGGGAUUCAGCUGACCUGAAAUUUAUACCUGUGCAGAUGGGAGAGGAGGAAGGAGGAGGUGAGAGCAGGAAAGAGCUUACAUAAAAGACCACAUUUUCCCAGAAUCCCCAGCAGCUGCCUGUUCUCCCCCUCCACUGGGCUAGAGCUGUGUCACACAGGCUGAGCGGCCAGGAAGCUGGGCACCAUCCAGGGAGUGUGUGAUCGUCGGGGUCCUGUUGAUUCCUGCUUUUGAGUAAUGAAGGUGACCAAACCACAUGACCCUGUCUGCAAAGAUUCCACCUGGACUCCCAGUUCCUCCAAGGAACCGUCAUGUGGUUCAAAUCCAAUGAAAUUCUCUAAAUCUCCACCCUCCUCAGGGUGCAGAGUUGGCUGCUUCUCUGUGCCCCCUGCUGAUCACGGCAACCCCUGGGUGCCUCGGCCUGCGAAGCCCCAGCUGUCCUCCGUCUGCAGACAAGCCGAGGUAUGAAAGCCUCCUCGCUGGCCCAGGAGCCUGUCAUUGUCCUCCAGCAGCUCUAGCCUGGAUGCGGUCCCAGAGAUAAAUCAUAUCUCUUUAAAAAGCCACAGUGGCCCAUUAUUUCUGCUUGAAAAUACCCCUGGCUCUCUGCUGGUGAGCUGGUUGACAGGCCCCGGCUGUUGUGCUCAGUGCUGCAAAGAGUCACGUCAGUCUGUCGACUUGUGUAGUGAGCAAGCUGGUAGCUUCAGAUGGUAUGCACAUGAAAUCCCGUCCUGGCAUCCAGGACUUGGCUGGGGGUUGCAGAGAGAACCACAUCUGCAAAAGAGUUGGUAUUUUACAGUCCCAGCCUCACGUCCUUGUGAAAUGCCCUGUUCAUACUGGGCUACAGGGGCGGGAGCAAAAAUGAUACAAUGACAAUUCCUGGGCUGUGUUCUGCAAUAUUCUACAACACUUCCACAAGAAAACUCCAAUCUUUAAAAAUAGACUGAGCACAAUUAAACAAUCACUAUAGAUAUUUCUUUUCUUUUUUUUUUUUUUGAGAUGGAGUCU